UCCUUAACGUCAUUCUGUGGAUCUGA
rnacentral:piRNA from 1 species